rnacentral:rRNA from 1 species
UCGGGAAUUUUGGGCAAUGGGCGAAAGCCUGACCCAGCAACGCCGCGUGAAGGAUGAAGUAUUUCGGUAUGUAAACUUCGAAAGAAUAGGAAGAAUAAAUGACGGUACUAUUUAUAAGGUCCGGCUAACUACGUGCCAGCAGCCGCGGUAAUACGUAGGGACCAAGCGUUGUUCGGAUUUACUGGGCGUAAAGGGCGCGUAGGCGGCUCUGUAAGUCACUUGUGAAAUCUCUGAGCUUAACUCAGAACGG